rnacentral:rRNA from 1 species
CCAGAAGGGGACGGCUAANUACGUGCCAGCAGCCGCGGUAAUACGUAGGUCCCGAGCGUUGUCCGGAUUUAUUGGGCGUAAAGGGAGCGCAGGCGGUCAGGAAAGUNUGGAGUAAAAGGCUAUGGCUCAACCAUAGUGUGCUCUGGAAACUGUNUGACUUGAGUGCAGAAGGGGAGAGUGGAAUUCCAUGUGUAGCGGUGAAAUGCGUAGAUAUAUGGAGGANCACCAGUGGCGAAAGCGGCUCUCUGGUCUGUCACUGACGCUGAGGCUCGAAAGCGUGGGUAACGAACAGGAUUAGAUACCCUGGUAGUCCACGCCGUAAACGAUGAGUGCUAGGUGUUAGGCCCUUUCCGGGGCUUAGUGCCGGAGCUAACGCAAUAAGCACUCCGCCUGGGGAGUACGACCGCAAGGUUGAAACUCAAAGGAAUUGACGGGGGNCCGCACAAGCGGUGGAGCAUGUGGUUUAAUUCGAAGCAACGCGAAGAACCUUACCAGGUCUUGACAUCCCGAUGCUAUUCUUAGAGAUAGGAAGUUACUUCGGUACAUCGGAGACAGGUGGUGCAUGGUUGUCGUCAGCUCGUGUCGUGAGAUGUUGGGUUAAGUCCCGCAACGAGCGCAACCCUUAUUGUUAGUUGCCAUCAUUAAGUUGGGCACUCUAGCGAGACUGCCGGUAAUAAACCGGAGGAAGGUGGGGAUGACGUCAAAUCAUCAUGCCCCUUAUGACCUGGGCUACACACGUGCUACAAUGGUCGGUACAACGAGUUGCGAGCCGGUGACGGCAAGCUAAUCUCUGAGAGCCGAUCUCAGUUCGGAUUGGAGGCUGCAACUCGCCUCCAUGAAGUCGGAAUCGCUAGUAAUCGCGGAUCAGCACGCCGCGGUGAAUACGUUCCCGGGCCUUGUACACACCGCCCGUCACACCACGAGAGUUUGUAACACCCGAAGUCGGUGAGGUAACCUUUUAGGGGCCAGCCGCCUAAGGUGGGANGGAUGAU